rnacentral:rRNA from 1 species
CAGUGUGACUCGUCACACUAUCAUUAACUGAAUCCAUAGGUUAAUGAGGCGAACCGGGGGAACUGAAACAUCUAAGUACCCCGAGGAAAAGAAAUCAACCGAGAUUCCCCCAGUAGCGGCGAGCGAACGGGGAGGAGCCCAGAGCCUGAAUCAGCAUGUGUGUUAGUGGAAGCGUCUGGAAAGGCGCGCGAUACAGGGUGACAGCCCCGUACACAAAAGCGCAUGUGCUGUGAGCUCGAUGAGUAGGGCGGGACACGUGGUAUCCUGUCUGAAUAUGGGGGGACCAUCCUCCAAGGCUAAAUACUCCUGACUGACCGAUAGUGAACCAGUACCGUGAGGGAAAGGCGAAAAGAACCCCGGCGAGGGGAGUGAAAAAGAACCUGAAACCGUGUACGUACAAGCAGUGGGAGCACAGGUUUACCUGUGUGACUGCGUACCUUUUGUAUAAUGGGUCAGCGACUUAUAUUCUGUAGCAAGGUUAACCGUAUAGGGGAGCCGUAGGGAAACCGAGUCUUAACCGGGCGUUAAGUUGCAGGGUAUAGACCCGAAACCCGGUGAUCUAGCCAUGGGCAGGUUGAAGGUUGGGUAACACUAACUGGAGGACCGAACCGACUAAUGUUGAAAAAUUAGCGGAUGACCUGUGGCUGGGGGUGAAAGGCCAAUCAAACCGGGAGAUAGCUGGUUCUCCCCGAAAGCUAUUUAGGUAGCGCCUCGUGAAUUCAUCUCCGGGGGUAGAGCACUGUUUCGGCUAGGGGGCCAUCCCGGCUUACCAACCCGAUGCAAACUGCGAAUACCGGAGAAUGUUAUCACGGGAGACACACGGCGGGUGCUAACGUCCGUCGUGAAGAGGGAAACAACCCAGACCGCCAGCUAAGGUCCCAAAGUCAUGGUUAAGUGGGAAACGAUGUGGGAAGGCCCAGACAGCCAGGAUGUUGGCUUAGAAGCAGCCAUCAUUUAAAGAAAGCGUAAUAGCUCACUGGUCGAGUCGGCCUGCGCGGAAGAUGUAACGGGGCUAAACCAUGCACCGAAGCUGCGGCAGC